UAUCCGUCUACGAUCGGUGUUUCAGUUGCAUUUUCCGGCUAGGAACGCGGAAUUUCAGGCUUCACAGUACAAAGUACUGCAACGCACGAAGUCGUCCCAGUUAUCUGAGCACGCUGCAUUUUAAAGAAGAAAAAUUGAACCGAUACCAUACCCACUCGCUUUGCUUUCAUACACGCAUCAACUGCGUGUAAUUAGCAGACGCAGAAAGUUUAACGCGUACUGUUUACUCUUUCGUAACAUGGCAAUGGCCGUUCACAGCGACCGAGUCUGUGCUACGGUAAGCUAGCCGUAGCUAACUUUAAUGCAUUUUAGCGAGGACAACGUGAAGAAAACAAGGAACUCUCGACAUGGAAGCGGGAAGAGGGCGCGAUGCUGGUGCCUCUUUUGAGGCUGUACUGGACAAAAAGUUACUAAACGUGACGAACACCAUGGAUUCCAUUCAAGGGCUGUCAACGUGGUGUAUCGACUACAAGAAGUACCACAGCAUGAUAGUGCGACAGUGGAGCAAGUGUUUAAAGAAAUCUGACACAGCGCACAAGCUCAACCUGUUUUACCUCGCCAAUGAUGUCAUUCAGAACUGUAAAAGGAAAAACGCUAUGGUUUACCGUACUGCAUUUGCUGAUGUGCUCCCUGAGGCUUUUGUGCUAAUAAAACAAGAAGGUGAUGCCAAGAUGGUGAAAUCUGUGGAGAGGAUACUCACCAUAUGGCAGGAGAGAAGUGUGUAUACAGAGGCCCUGAUUGCUGAGCUCAGGAGCAGCUUAGCCAAAGAGGAGUCCCCACCUGUGACACCCUUGGAGCAAAAAACUCCAGUUGAGUCCAAGGCAGAGCUCCGGUCCAAGAUUGUUGCAGAAUUUGUGCCCCAGUCCUUGAUUGACCACCUGUCUAAAUACAAGAGGUCUCUGGAGGAUGUGGACCUACGAGAAAAUCAAUUGGCAACUAUGAGGGUCGACAUCUGCAGUUCUGAAGCCCUCAAGAAGCUAAAAGAUAAGGCAGGAGGAAAGAAGUUCUCCAGGGACUUUGAAGAAGGCAAUAUACAGCUACAAGAGUUUGUUAAGUUCUUUGACAGACAAAACAAAACAGGACCUGCUCUUCUGGAAGCCCUGAGCAAUGCAGAUAUCUUUUAUGAGAUGCAGUACAAAGAGGUCAAGAUUGUCGCUAAUGCCUACCAGACAUUUGCUAACAGAGUGUCCCACCUGAAGCGCAAGCUGGACAACCUAAAGGCCACAUUACCAGACCUGGAUGAUUCGCCUAUUCCUUCGCCCUCUGCUGACGCACCAUCCCCAACAGGCUCCGAAUCUCCUUUCCACGACCUAGAACUGGCCAAGCCUCAUCCAGAUGUGGAUGAUUCCGCUAUGGAUGAUGAAGCAGAACCUCCAGCCCCAAGUCCUCUGUCCUCAAUCGGAGAUUCCCCAAAACCAGUGUUGAAUCUCGGGGAAGAUAACGUUAACCGUGAGGUGGAAGACAUGGAGCUUUCUGAGGAUGAAAUAGUCAGCGGAAGCAUCAUAGUUGAGGAGAAAAUAAAGUGUUCCAGCCCUUUGAAGGCAUCAAAUCCCAUCACCCAAAACAGAGAGCCAUCAGUAGCAACAGCACAGCAUACCUCAUCUGAUGAGGCAUCUGUAGCAACCCUUACAGGAAGUGUGGAAACUGUUGACCUGGGUAAAAUUGGAUCUAUCCUCAACAGUUUAAAUGCGGCCAUGAAAAACACAGGGCCACCAGUGGAGAGUCCUACUACAGCUAACCCCUACUUAUCAGUUGAGACGAUACCGCCUGCCUCUGAAGAUGCCACUUCCUUGGUUGACAUCCUGGCAAAGGUGGACAUGAGUCCUGCAGAUCUCAUCAGUGCUCUGUCUAAGGUCCAAGCUCAAGGUAGCCUUGAUGGCAUCACUUCUCAUCUGAGCAGCCCUGCUGCAAAUGUCCCAGCAGAGUCCUCCAAUACAGGCAAGACUCCUCCCUUACCCUCAUUCACAUCAGCUUCAGCAGCUACCAAUCAGAGCUCCACUUCCUCCUCUGCUACACUGGUGCCUUCUUCACCAUCAAACGCCACUGUAAAGCAGAGCAAAACCUCGCAAAUGGUUACUGAGAACAAGCCAACCACUGCCCCUGUGCAGGAUGUAGCCAAAGAUAUGGAUUUGACAGCAGUGACAACACAAGUAGUAAAACCAGACAGUUUAGAAUCCAAAAUUCACAACUUCCUGCAUGGCAAUCCUGUUUUUAACUGCUUUGACCUUGGUUUCGCCAUAAACCAACCCAAUAGGGUGGAUAACUUGAGUCCUGUAACAGGAACCGACACGCAGGAUGGGACACCAGUGCGUGAUGAGGGUGGAGGCACCCCAACCCAAGAUGAGGUCAUGGAUGUGCCAGUGGGGCUCCCAAAGUCUUCAAGCACAAACACAGAAACUGGGAUGCCAGCUCUCUUUGCAUUCCAUAAAAAUACUUCUCAGAACCCAGAAAACACCAACCUGCAAGACCACCUUCAGCCAGGUGUUGCUCAGAAUGGACAGACGUACCAACCAUACCAAUACAGUGAAAACAGUAUGUCAACUCCUGUUGAACAGUAUCAGCCAGGUGGAGGUCCUGCAACUCAGGGCAGUGCAGGCAGCACACAACCCGUGGAGGACUUUCAGGGGAUGGCUGAUCACUGUUGGUAUGGUCAGCAACCCACAGGCUACAAUGUGCAGAGCCCUGCUAAAAACCUGACGACAAGGCCAUUUGAGUACCAAGCCGAACAAACCAGAGAACCUCAAGGGUUUCAGCAAUCUUCAGAUUUCUUUAGAAACAUCCUUCCUCCUGUUCCCAAGUUACCUCCCCCUCCAAAUGUACUCCCAACAGCUUCCGUAACCAGCCAAGCAAUGACUCUCCCGGAGCAGCAGCCAGCACCCCACGCAGACAUGGGCGAACCUGGUCAAAGCAGAGGUUUGCCGAGGAUGGUGGUCCACGACCAUGGACACAAGUCAGUCUUUCAUCCAGAUGAAUCAUUGUAUGAUCACCCCGAGGAUCAAGACUCUACCCUAGACAACAUGCAUUACCCUAAAGACCACGAGCAUUACCACGAUGAGAUCCCCCCGCGCCCUAGCCCUCGUUUUCAGAACAGCCCUUACAGCCGCCCUGAGGCCCCUUUCUACCAAAGGGGCAGCCCUCGACAUAACCUCCCCAGAGGCAGAGGGCGCUUUACUUCGCCUUCCUCACCCUCCUCCCAGGAUGCUUUUGACAGCCAGGAUUACCAAAGACAGAGCCCCCCUCGUCCUCACUAUGCGCCCAGAUGUCCAGCGCCACCACUCCGUUUUGAGAUGCGCCCCCCUGGUCCGCGACCUCCACAGCGGGUUCCCCGUCCUGCCCAUCCCCCAUUCCCCAGGGGUCCCCCACGCGCACCAUUUCCUAAUUUUCAUGGGCCUGAUCCAAGACUAAGGGGGAAACGACCGGGUCCGAGAGGAGGUCUGAAUCCUGGUCCCAUGUUUGCUCCGAAAAGACCAUUCCCACCUCCAUGGUACUGACUGUAGUAUUGCAACAAAGGUCCAUUCUGUGCACUGGGAGGUCAAAUGUGAAAUGGCUAAAGGGGGAGCUGACAAAUCAAAAAUCGUGUCCAAAUCUAAAAAAAAAGACUGUGAGAAGGAGAGAGAGAGGCCUACAGAUCUCACCAGAAAAGAAAGCAGAGACUCCUACAAGAGUGCUGAAGACAGAAGAUUAAAGAAAAUAAGAGGGCCCCCACAGCCACACUUUGAAGUGUCACAUGUGAUGGGAACUUUCUUCGGAACAUCUUCACUGAUGCAGGUGUAUGUCAGCGGGACCAUGGUGAUUCCUCUCUUUGAAUCCAAGGCCUGUAAGCCUCCAUCUUAUUGCAUCACAGUCUUGUUCGCAGCUGAAUAGAAGGGAAUUGUUUGUGUAUUUACUUGAAUCAGGGGAGUGUAGUUUGCCCACACGUAAGUUUAGAAAAUCUCAUUUAAUGAUCUAUUCCACAUUUUUUUCUGAAACUGAUUACCCAGAAGAAAAUUGGUUAUUAAAAUGUUUUUUAUUUGAAUAAAUUAUAUUUUACAACCAUCCAUCUGCAAGAACUCCCUGUAGUCAUAUUUAGCAUAUAUUUGGUAUACUUGAGCCUAAGGCAAAUCUGAUGUCACGCACCUCACUGUAUGUGAUUUCUCUCAGCCUAGCAAAGUGUAAAAAGGCAAUGAUUAAAAAAAAUGUACAAAACAUACAGCAUAAUAUGAAAUUUAAUUUAGGUAUAUUUAAAAAUUCCAAGUACUUCAAGGGUUAAAGCCAAUGCUUUUAUGCACGUUUUACUGAGCUCAUCGUCAUUUACACUAAUGAUAAUACACACACACACAGUAUAUGCAUGCAUGUGUGUAUAUACAUGGUCAUAUAUGUAUUCAUACCAUUUAUAGCUAUAUUAAUCUAUGAAUAUACUGUAUAUAUAAUCCUUUUGCAUUGUACAGAUUUUCAUUGUUCCUGUAAGAGAGAAUAAAGUCCUUUUUAAAAAAAUAUAUAUAUUUUAAUGCUUGUACAUCCACCCGUCGUUCUGUAUUAUGUGACGAACAGCUUUUGGGCACCAGAUGU